rnacentral:rRNA from 1 species
UGUGUAGGCCAUACCACCCUGAACGUGCCAUAUCUUAUCUGAUCUCGGAAGCUAAGGAGGAUCAGGCCUGGUUAGUUCUUGGAUUGGAAAAACAUCCACAGAUGUCUACCUGA